rnacentral:lncRNA from 1 species
UUCGGACCAUUAAACAAGGAAUAUAAUACUGCAAUGUCGUUUGCUUUCCCUAGCCGAUUGUUCAUUGCUUGAGAAGAUCAACAUAUAUGUAAGUUCAUUGACAUAACUGUGAAAAAUCUUCCUUCAAUGCGUUUCAAAAUACGUAUGCAUUUAGUUUCGCAUAGUAAAACGUGCUGAUGUCGGAAUUCAAGAAUGAUUACUCACUCAUUCAUUUACUGCUUCAAAUUAAUAAGUAUUUGCAGUUGCGUGAGUAUGAUCGAGACGGAGAGACCAAAUGUUCAUACACAUACGGAUUCAAGGAUAUAUACGUCAAGCUUAAAGAUGGAAAAGUGAAGCCUUCUGUUGGGUUUCUGAAUCAACUCAGAAAAAAUUGAUUUUUAUUACUUUUCAGGUUAAUUAUGAGAUUG